CGCGGUUCCGGCACGCCUGAGCUCUCCGAACAGAGCGACAGCCGAUCACCGGCGGCGCGCCGCCAGCGGGACCGAAACCGAGCGCUCCAGCUGCCCGUGUAAUCAGUCAUGUCCUCGCCGGUUUGCCGAUGUAUCGCCGAUAGGACAUGGAUGGAUGUGGAUGCCUUAUGUACCAAAAUUCUGCAAGGAAGUCAAGAAUGGUCAUAUAGCGAAGUGGAUAUCGCGUUAGAUUCCGAAUCUAUAGGUCGUGGGUUCGACUCCCACUAUGAUCAAUUUUCCUUGUGUUUUUUAGAGGAAAUUUGUGUGGCUCCUGUUUUUUGUUUCUUGUGUUUUUCAGCAGACAGUGGCUUACUGCAAUUGCACACAAGGUAUCAGGGUUCUUGUGAACAAGAUUGGUCCCAUGACCUCAGGUCCCCAGCUGCCUUACAGGGCGGUUGUCAUGGAGUGCAGAAUUUCACCUGUACUAGUGCAUUAUCAGGAAUUUUUUAACCCCAAAGGCCUAUCUGGUAACUGUUGGUGUAAAUUAUUGUGUGGAACAAAUGUCACCAUUCAAUCACAUGGAAGACUUGGUUGUCAAUGAACCCAUAAUUAUCCAGAACAUGUGGACAUAAGGUGGUUGUUUAUAGAGCUGUAGUUAUUUUGAUACGGCUGCAACUUCGCUGUAUGUUGUGUAUGUUUUUGUAAAGAGAUUGAAUUGGUUUCAA